ACGAACGCUGGCGGCAUGCCUAACACCUGCAAGUCGAACGCGACCUUCGGGUCUAGUGGCGCACGGGUGCGUAACGCGUGGGAACCUGCCCUUAGGUUCGGGAUAACUCCCCGAAAGGGGUGCUAAUACCGGAUAAUGUCUUCGGACCAAAGAUUUAUCGCCUUUGGAUGGGCCCGCGUUGGAUUAGCUAGUUGGUAGGGUAAAAGCCUACCAAGGCGACGAUCCAUAGCUGGUCUGAGAGGAUGAUCAGCCACACUGGGACUGAGACACGGCCCAGACUCCUACGGGAGGCAGCAGUGGGGAAUAUUGGACAAUGGGCGAAAGCCUGAUCCAGCAAUGCCGCGUGAGUGAUGAAGGCCUUAGGGUUGUAAAGCUCUUUUACCCGGGAUGAUAAUGACAGUACCGGGAGAAUAAGCUCCGGCUAACUCCGUG
rnacentral:rRNA from 1 species